AAGCCGCUAUUGUUUUUAAGAUACCCGUACCGUAAACCGACACAGGUGGAUGAGGAGAGAAUCCUAAGGCCGGCGGAAGAAGCAUUGUUAAGGAACUCGGCAAAAUGACCCCGUAACUUCGGGAGAAGGGGUGCCAACGAGAGUUGGCCGCAGAGAAUAGGCUCAAGCAACUGUUUAGCAAAAACACAGGUCUAUGCAAAACCGUAAGGUGAGGUAUAUGGGCUGACGCCUGCCCGGUGCUGGAAGGUUAAGAGGAGAGGUUAGCGCAAGCGAAGCUUUGAAUUUAAGCCCCAGUAAACGGCGGCCGUAACAAUAACGGUCCUAAGGUAGCGAAAUUCCUUGUCGGGUAAGUUCCGACCCGCACGAAAGGCGUAAUGAUUUGAGCGCUGUCUCGACAAUGCAUCCGGUGAAAUUGAAGUACCAGUGAAGAUGCUGGUUACCCGCGCCAGGACGGAAAGACCCCAUGGAGCUUUACUCCAGUUUGGUACUGGGGUCCGGCAGUGCAUGUACAGGAUAGGUGGGAGGCUGUGAACCUGGAACGCCAGUUUCAGGGGAGCCAUUGUUGGGAUACCACCCUUGUGCUGCUGGGCUUCUAACCAGCGGCCUUUAUCAGGCCGGGGGACAAUGCCAGACGGGGAGUUUGACUGGGGCGGUCGCCUCCGAAAGGGUAUCGGAGGCGCUCAAAGGUUCCCUCAGAAUGGUCGGAAACCAUUCGAAGAGUGCAAAGGCAGAAGGGAGCUUGACUGCGACACCGACGGGUGGAGCAGGUACGAAAGUAGGACUUAGUGAUCCGGUGGUAUUAAGUGGGAAUGCCAUCGCUCAACGGAUAAAAGCUACCCUGGGAUAACAGGCUUAUCACUCCCAAGAGUUCACAUCGACGGAGUGGUUUGGCACCUCGAUGUCGGCUCAUCGCAUCCUGGGGCUGUAGUAGGUCCCAAGGGUUGGGCUGUUCGCCCAUUAAAGCGGUACGCGAGCUGGGUUCAGAACGUCGUGAGACAGUUCGGUCCCUAUCCGGCGUGGGCGUAGGAUAUUUGAGAGGAGCUGUCCUUAGUACGAGAGGACCGGGAUGGACUGACCUCUGGUGUACCGGUUGAACCGCCAGGUUCACGGCCGGGUAGCCAAGUCGGGAAGGGAUAAACGCUGAAGGCAUCUAAGCGUGAAGCCCCCCUCAAGAUGAGAUAUCCCAUUCGAAAGAAGUAAGACCCCUUGAAGACGACGAGGUAGAUAGGGCAGAGGUGGAAGUGCCGUAAGGCAUGGAGCUGACUGUUACUAAUCGGUCGAGGGCUUGACUAA
rnacentral:rRNA from 1 species